UGUCUAAUUAAAACAAAGUAUUGCGACCGCCUCAGGUCGGUGCUGACGCAAUGUGAUUUCUGCCCAGUGCUCUAAAUGUCAACGUAAAAAAAUUAAAAAAAGCGGUGGUAAACGGCAGAAGUAACUAUGACUCUAUAUGCUGAGCAUUAUGUCA
rnacentral:rRNA from 1 species